UGUGUGUGUGUGUUUCGAGUCAGCUGCAAGCCCAUGGAUGCCGAAGACUACGAGGAGUACAUGCAUCUUCUUUAUGAAGUUCUCAUAGGUCAGCAGCAUGAGGGCAAAGAGGGCCAAGACCUCGUUAAGAAUGCCCUCCUAAUGGCCACAAGUUCGAACUUGAAGCUACCGGAAAACUGGUUCAUCCCCUGUUAGCUUGGAGGAUGGUGCUAUGGGCGACCACGUCGGCAAUGGCAACACUGGAGUCUACAAUGAUGGUGAGAACAUGGCGGUAGCAUAGGUGACU